GCGGGACGCCCCGAGAGGAGGAGGGACCUGCUGGGGAGGCAGCGGUCUCGCAGCCCCAGGCCCCAACGAGUGUGCCUGGGGCUCGCCUCUCGAGAUUGCCUCUGGCGCGAGUGAAGGCCUUGGUGAAGGCAGAUCCCGACGUGACGCUAGCGGGACAGGAAGCCAUCUUCAUUCUGGCACGAGCCGCGGAACUGUUUGUGGAGACCAUUGCAAAAGAUGCCUACUGUUGCGCUCAGCAGGGAAAAAGGAAAACCCUUCAGAGGAGAGACUUGGAUAAUGCAAUAGAAGCUGUGGAUGAAUUUGCUUUUCUGGAAGGUGAGUUCCCUCUCAGUGGGCAAUCAUUUCCACCUGUCUUUUGCAUGUUGAUGUGAAAUUCAAAAUCUCAUAAAACAGAUGCCUGCUUCU
rnacentral:sRNA from 1 species